AGGGUUUGAUUAUGGCUCAGGAUGAACGCUAGCGGCAGGCCUAACACAUGCAAGUCGAGGGGUAACAUAGAAGAGCUUGCUUUUCUGAUGACGACCGGCGCACGGGUGCGUAACGCGUAUGCAACCUACCUCUUACUGGAGGAUAGCCCGAAGAAAUUCGGAUUAAUACUCCAUAGUAUUUCUUUCUCACCUGAGAUUGAAAUUAAAGGUUACGGUAAGAGAUGGGCAUGCGUCCUAUUAGCUAGAUGGUAAGGUAACGGCUUACCAUGGCUACGAUAGGUAGGGGGCCUGAGAGGGUGAUCCCCCACACUGGUACUGAGACACGGACCAGACUCCUACGGGAGGCAGCAGUGAGGAAUAUUGGGCAAUGGAGGCAACUCUGACCCAGCCAUGCCGCGUGCAGGAAGACGGUCCUAUGGAUUGUAAACUGCUUUUAUUUGUGAAUAAACUCCGGUACGUGUACCGGCCUGAAUGUAGCAAAUGAAUAAGCACCGGCUAACUCCGUGCCAGCA
rnacentral:rRNA from 1 species